GCUUUCGUGCUGUAGUGGUCAGCAUGCUCGACGCUUAUUCGAGAGGACCUUGGUUCGAGUCCCGGCGAUGGCA
rfam:Stegodyphus mimosarum contig117237, whole genome shotgun sequence.